GUGAGUAACACGUGGGUGAUCUGCCCUGCACUUUGGGAUAAGCCUGGGAAACUGGGUCUAAUACCGAAUAUGACCGCGCACUUCCUGGUGUGUGGUGGAAAGCUUUUGCGGUGUGGGAUGGGCCCGCGGCCUAUCAGCUUGUUGGUGGGGUAAUGGCCUACCAAGGCGACGACGGGUAGCCGGCCUGAGAGGGUGACCGGCCACACUGGGACUGAGAUACGGCCCAGACUCCUACGGGAGGCAGCAGUGGGGAAUAUUGCACAAUGGGCGCAAGCCUGAUGCAGCGACGCCGCGUGAGGGAUGACGGCCUUCGGGUUGUAAACCUCUUUCAAUAGGGACGAAGCGCAAGUGACGGUACCUAUAGAAGAAGGACCGGCCAACUACGUGCCAGCAGCCGCGGUAAUACGUAGGGUCCGAGCGUUGUCCGGAAUUACU
rnacentral:rRNA from 1 species